rnacentral:rRNA from 1 species
GUGGGGAAUAUUGGACAAUGGGCGCAAGCCUGAUCCAGCCAUGCCGCGUGGAUGAUGAAGGCCUUAGGGUUGUAAAGUCCUUUUAACGGGGAAGAUAAUGACGGUACCCGUAGAAUAAGCCCCGGCUAACUUCGUGCCAGCAGCCGCGGUAAUACGAAGGGGGCUAGCGUUGCUCGGAAUCACUGGGCGUAAAGCGCACGUAGGCGGCUUUCUAAGUCAGGGGUGAAAUCCUGGAGCUCAACUCCAGAACUGCCUUUGAUACUGGAAAGCUUGAGUUCGGGAGAGGUGAGUGGAACUGCGAGUGUAGAGGUGAAAUUCGUAGAUAUUCGCAAGAACACCAGUGGCGAAGGCGGCUCACUGGCCCGAUACUGACGCUGAGGUGCGAAAGCGUGGGGAGCAAACAGGAUUAGAAACCCCAGUAGUCC